rnacentral:misc_RNA from 1 species
UAGCGUCGCCUGGCUCGCGCGCGCUUCUGGAGCUCUCGUGAGAGCCAAGCUGAGCCAAGCUGAGCUGAGCUGAGCUGAGCUGAGCUGAGCUGAGCCGAACCGAGUCGAGCCGAGCUCUUCGGUUAGUCGCGAGUCGCCAACUCGUUGUACGGUCGCGUCAAACUUAGCCGGGGAUUCCGUGUCGUCCCUGAAGACGUUAUCCCGACGUAGUGCUACCCAAGAACUACACUUAGACGUUGUUGUUGUUGUUUCAUUCGAGGAAAGUGCUGCAGGGAGAAGAGCUACCAAAAAGAAGAAGAAGAAGAAGAAGAAGAAGAAGACAAAGACGAAGAAGAAGAAACAGUGUCUGGGACGAUGCGCGCGAGAACUGGAGGAAGGUCCGGUGUUCUAUCGUCGAAGGUCGUCCUCGAAGUGAUAAGGAUAUACGUGGAGGCAACUUGUCAGUUGCAGCUAGUUUGCCCGCUGCGAAGGACCGACUGAGUCUGCACCAUCGACGGGGAAUAGGGUGAAUUCGCUGAUUAAGGAACCCAUUAGUUACGGAAGAACGGAAGAAAGAAAGCUGAGGUGGUCGCAUAACGGACCUGCAAGACUUUAUAAUGUAGGAAGAGAGUUUGCCUACGGUAGAUGUUUUAUGUGGUGUUGAACGUUCUUCUCCACCUAGACACUGUGCGCGCGAGUUUUGAGCGACGGCUACAGCAGAUGCCCCGAUUCGUACAAUAAUUAUUACACUUUACUAUUAUACUUAUCCAGUAAAGGACUACCUAUUCACGGAAGGGAUUCGUGGCCAAACAACAACCACGCUCGGUUUAGCUGCUUACACCGUUGCUCUAUCGAUUGAAUUCCGGCGCGCCAAAAAAGAGAGGAUGUUAAACUGAUGAUGAUGACGAGGAUCGAGGAUUAGUGAGGUGGUGGCUCGUUAAUCGACGGUUAUCGUCACACCACCACAACAUGUGGGAUCCUUUGAUUACCGGUGUGCUCUGAUAAUAAAAAAAAAAAAUAAAGAAAUAAAACAGAAGAUGAGAGCAAACCCUGCUUUCGAUUAAUCAGCGAUAAAGUGGUGCUUAUGGUGUGAAAACCCAACUGCCGAUAUAUACAGUCCUUUGACAUUAUUCACUUUCGUUUCUAGUAUUUAUGUUUUUUCAAAACACGAGCUGCUUUUCUAACUUCUAAUCAAUUUGCCUCGGUUGAAUUGAUCGAAGCUCCGUAUAAAGCAAUCGCACAGGAGCAAUAUACAAAGACACACUGCCCCAAUAAGAUUUUUUAUCAGUAAUAAUAACGAUAAUAAUACCAGUAAUAUUAAUAAUAAAAAGUUUAAAUCACAACGCUGCAGAGAGAUUAUUCCGCAAAACCGUGAGAGAUGUAGUUCGUCGUGAUAGCUACGCGGAAAUGCCCGUUUAUGAGGAUUGCCUGGGUUUUGAGGUGUCACUGAUCAUCGGUGGCGUCAUUACCACCUCGACGCGCUGUGAUUUUGUUCUGGAUACAAUAUACACCCGAAUGGAUAGAAGCUAGUGCUCGUCCUGGAGUCAGACUUACACGUAGCGUAAGGUACAGGAACGCCUAUACUGCAUACGUACACGUAAUAGGCUUGCGGAAUUGUUGUUCGUGCGGUAUGUUCUGCUGAGCAACGGUGGUGCGACCCACGUGUGUGUUUCAACGAUCCUCUCCGAUAUGUCUGGGGCAACGUCAACGUCGUACACGUCGCCGGGCUCUUCGUCCGGGAAAUUUUCGGGCCGGCUUCUGCAGUCCAGCGACCAGGUCUGGUAAUUCCCGACCGGCUGAGUUAAGGGUGAAACGGGCCGUGGGGGUGAAGGAGGUUCGAGGAUCGCGAUGGCAUCGGUCGCCGCCUGGUUGCCGUUCGCUCGAGCAGCGGCCAUAGGAUGGGUGCCGAUCGCUACGCACCCCUUACCGCCUCCGCCGAUACCGAAAGACCGGCGAAAAGCAGACGACGAAAAGCUCCUGAUAAAUGUGAGCGGCCGACGGUUCGAGACCUGGCGUAACACCCUAGAGAAAUAUCCCGACACCCUGCUCGGUUCUAACGAGCGGGAGUUCUUCUACGACGAGGACACCAAGGAGUACUUCUUCGACCGUGAUCCGGACAUAUUCCGGCAUAUAUUGAACUACUACAGGACCGGCAAGCUCCAUUAUCCCAAGCACGAGUGUCUCACAAGCUACGACGAGGAGUUGGCGUUCUUUGGUAUCCUGCCGGACGUUAUCGGCGAUUGUUGCUACGAGGAUUACAGGGACCGUAAAAGAGAGAACGCCGAACGACUGAUGGACGAUAAACUGAGCGAGAACGGUGACCAAAAUCUUCAACAGUUGACGAACCUACGGCAAAAAAUGUGGCGGGCUUUUGAAAAUCCGCAUACAUCAACGGCUGCGCUUGUGUUUUACUAUGUGACGGGAUUCUUCAUAGCCGUCAGCGUGAUGGCGAACGUUGUUGAGACCGUACCUUGCGGACACAGACCCGGGCGUGCCGGUACCUUGCCCUGUGGUGAACGGUACAAGAUAGUUUUCUUCUGCCUGGACACUGCUUGCGUAAUGAUAUUCACCGCCGAGUAUCUUUUGAGGCUUUUCGCGGCACCGGAUCGGUGCAAAUUCGUUAGGUCCGUGAUGUCGAUAAUCGACGUUGUCGCUAUACUGCCGUACUACAUUGGACUCGGUAUAACCGACAACGAUGACGUCUCAGGGGCGUUCGUUACCCUCCGUGUCUUCAGGGUGUUCAGAAUCUUCAAGUUCUCCCGUCACUCCCAGGGGCUACGGAUCCUGGGCUACACUCUUAAAUCCUGUGCCUCUGAACUCGGGUUUUUGGUGUUCUCGUUGGCUAUGGCCAUCAUCAUAUUCGCUACCGUUAUGUUCUACGCCGAGAAAAAUGUCGAGGGUACAAACUUCACAUCGAUUCCAGCCGCCUUCUGGUACACCAUUGUCACCAUGACGACCCUAGGGUACGGUGACAUGGUACCGGAAACGAUCGCUGGAAAAAUCGUCGGAGGCGUGUGUUCUCUCAGCGGAGUUUUGGUCAUAGCCUUGCCAGUGCCGGUUAUCGUCAGCAACUUCAGUCGCAUUUAUCACCAGAAUCAGCGUGCUGACAAGAGGAAAGCGCAGAGGAAAGCUAGAUUGGCCAGGAUUCGCAUCGCCAAAGCCUCCAGCGGAGCGGCAUUUGUCAGCAAGAAGAAAGCCGCUGAGGCUCGUCUCGCCGCCCAGGAAAGCGGACUCGAUCUUGAAGACAACUACAGGGAGGAGGACAUCUUCGAACUACAGCAUCAUCAUCUGUUACGCUGCCUGGAAAAAACUACGGAUCGCGAGUUCGUGGAGAUGGAGGUGCCAUUCAACGGAGCCCCGAAGAGGCCCGGAUCUCCGUCCCCGCUGACGUCGCCAGCUCACAGUACGGCGUCACGUGGAGGGCUGCUGCGUUCCUGCUGCGGCAGGUGUUACCCUCAGCGAUAUCAGGAUCGACGCGUGUCACCCGAGGAUGGAAGGAAGGAACGUCGCGUAAGUAAAUGUCGACACGCGAUCUGCAACAGAUGAUCACGAUGUGUGUACUCACAGUGUCAUGUUGUUCUUGUGAAAAAGCCACCUUCCCAGUAAGCCAUACGUGUUGCAUAUCGUACGUUGUACUCAAUGCGAGGCAAAGUAAUAAUAAUAAAUUAUAAAGUAGCGCUAGUAUCCAAGUAUCAUUCCUCAUUCUCGGUGUGCAGACAAACAUUAAAGUGUAUACAAUGACCAGAAACCUUCAGGCACUGUCUUUGGUCCAACUGUUGCUGUACACUCCACUGUAUACGUCUGUGUUCACAGUUCCUUUACGUACAUCGACAGAGAUCUAAUAUUUAUCAUAUUACUUCUAUAAUUACUAAAAUCGACCGAGGGCUUAGCGCACCCUCGAGAUACCCAGGUGAGAUAAGAAACUGUAUCUAUCUUAACGGGCAGUUAUCGAAGUCCUAAGCAUUAACCCAAAAUUAGCACCUCGUUCCUGGUGAUAAUUUAUAUUGGGACACAUUAUACACCCUAAAUUCCGUAGGAUAUUCGAUAACUGUUGAAUUGGAUCAUCCGCGUUAUUUGCGCAACAACACUUCGCCAGUCAAAAUUUACACGUGACAUUAUCUACACACUGUUUAUUCCCCGGGAUUGUUUCACGGCAAUCCUUACAGGAUUACUCUAACCCGUUUUGCAAUCCUUCGAGUCCACUCUGUGACCCGGAAUUCUGGGCAUUGAAAUCCUCUCUUCAAACUUGUGCCCAUCCUACCGCACCACUGAUUUCUAUCGAGUUAUAGGCGGCUCCCUCCCGGGGGCUUAUUUAAAGUAGGCCAUCGCCUCUAUCUUCGAAUCGUACAACUUCGGGUCACCAGUGAUAAAAAGUGACUGGCAACGCGUUCUGCGCCCGGUGAUGUAAGCUGAUACGUGUGGUCGUCACAGGUGAGUAUGUUCGUAAAGCUAAUUACAUUCUCGAGUACGAGGCGUGCUGCUGCAGCUGUGGCUUUGAUAACAAUUAUUGUUAAUGUUGACAGGGGUGACCAAGGAUCGGGAAAGCUAAACGAUUUGUUUACGGGUGAGUUCAGGUAAACUCGCAGACUGGCCUUUCUAUGUUUGUCUAGUUUCCCGUCCUCAGCAGUCAAACUUUACCGUCACCUGUGACCUCGUCACAAUGGAGGCGCAACCACUCGGAAUGUAGAAAAUUAACACCGCUGGUUGUGAGUAAUAUCGUGCAGAACGCUAAAACGUUCGGUCCGGUGCACAAUGCUCGUUGUGGAGCCGGAUUUAUCGUUGACCGUACCUCGAAGUUUCACGUCAUAGUCCAUCGGCACGGUGCUUCAGACUCAAUCGGAGUCUCUUCUGUGUUAACUUCUCUGUGCUUUGGCGUAACUCAAAAGCCAAUUUUGGCGGUUAAAUAGGGUGAAGUCUGAUCUGACAUGCCGGUUCCGUCAUUCGACAAAGCGUAUGGGUUCCGUUAUUUCAGAAACGUGAGGACGACGCGCCAAUUACACAGUCAAGAACGGAGAAACAUCUUCAUCGGGUCCGACGUUAAUUGCCAUCUGUGCGAUGGACAAAGAGACUCGGCGAGAAAAACGAGGAGUAUCUCUUUAGACGUGGAUGCGAAUGAAAUCGAUAUAGCAGGAGGGAUAAUGGGAUCACCGGUCAUUCUUUACCGUCAGAUGAGACAGUCCCAUAUAAUCCUCUCCUUUCAGCUAUUGUCGUUGUGAUGUCAUUGGUGAUGCGUUACUAUCACCAUUCGAUGGUCGUCAGAACGGAAUGGACUUGAAACGUUUCCACGAUAAAGACGGAUCUGCGGGGAAUUUGCGAAUUGUCAUAUUAAUUGUAGUUGACUUAGUGCAUUCCGGACACUAUAAUACCAACGAAUAAAAGAUGAGAUCCGCCUCGUGGUCUUUUUUACCUUUGCAUCCGUCGAUAAGGACCGGGUGGACAUAAAGUCUGCUGCUCGGUUCGCCAUCGGUCCUUUCAGUCCCAAUUGAAUUAAGUAGGAAAUCAUAUCUCGCCAUCCUCCCUCCCGAACAACGUGCGCACGGUACUUCAACGCGCGGCCAUCAAAUUCUGUUUCCUAACCUAGGUAAUAAUACUGGAGCCCCGUGAAGGGGAUAAAGAAGUAUCAACUUCUUUCACUUCUUCGAACAUUCCACCCCACUUUCAUCAUUUACCACUGUCUGAGCUCCUCACGACAGAAAGAUUAUGUAGUGUAGGUCUAGGCGUAGCAUUUAGGCGCAGCGAGUUUUUUGGGGGGUGGAAAUCGGGCCGAGUUAUGGUGGAUCGAGGAGAAUGAUUACCGGGAAGAAACGGUGAAAGUUAGUAGAUUGAACGUCAGACUGCGCAUGCGCGAGCUUUAUCGGAUUUUCAUGCAGGCUGGCCACCUCAAGCUUCUGCUGUCACAAUUGACUUACGAAGAUUGUGUGCAGGUUGAUUCGAACUUUUUGCUCGGUUAAGUAGAUCUCUCAUGCUUCAUGUAGCUAUUCCGAAAGUCUUGGGAAACUUUUAUUGUUAACCGAAUUACGGCUGAUGGCCAAGUACGAGUCACUAGAACAACAUAAUUUCAACUCACCACUUAACGCGGGAGAUUUUCACAUUUCGUACCACUUUUUGAGUAAGUUGGCACUCCUGCCUUGCACACUCGGUAAAAACAUUGCCGCGAUACGAUCUUACCCGCAAAUAGAUCUAAUCAUUUUUCGUAUGCACGGUCAGUCACUCAACCCGCUAUGUUUCACCGUAUGUACAGUAGAGAGCGAAUGACGAGUCGAGAGUGAGAGACAGAGAGAGAGAGAGAGAGAGAGAGAGUGUGCGAAAGGGCGAGGAAGGUAGUGUGCGAAUGGGGGGAUGAACGUGGUGGGAAAUAUGGAAUGCGAGAGAAAGAGGAGAACCGACGAAGCUCUAGCGGCCGACAAUGUAGCGUGUGCUUUGGGUGUGGAUUUCAGCAGGCGUACAGUCAGUACAUCCCGGCGACUAGGGCCCAGGUUUCGGGCGGCCCAGGCGGCGGGCAGACGGGGGUCGCCAUGGACGGCACGUAUCUGGUCGAGGCCUCGUUUUGAACGAGGAGAGCGCUUCUCGUAGACACGUCUUCCUCGUAAAUCCCACCGCCUAAGAGAAAAGAAAAGAAUGACGAAAAGACGGAAAGAAUUUGAAAACAAAAAAAAAAAUAAUAACAAAUGAAAAGAAAUAAACUACAGGAACACGUACAAACAUUAUACGUUUUAAGAAACAUCAUGCACUCACAGAUCAACGAAUACACCCGAGUCACACAUUAUACACGCACACACGUACGCACAUUCGAAUAAAACAAAAAAAAAAAUAACGACACCAAAAAAUCAUGCAUACAUACAUACAUUAUACAUGUAUACGUAUAACGAAAAAUAAAAAUGAAGAUACGAUUAAAAAUUUCAUUAAAUAAGGAAAACCGAGAGACCGGAUGUGCGGAGACACGCAGACGUUGCAUAACGUAAUAAAUUUAGAACAUUGCAACGAGACAACAAAAAAAAAACAAACAAACAAACACACAACAUUCAAACGAACGACAAACUCUGAAUGCUCGAUACAGA